rnacentral:rRNA from 1 species
UACGUAGGUGACAAGCGUUGUCCGGAUUUACUGGGCGUAAAGAGCGCGCAGGCGGUCGUUCAAGUCGAGUGUGAAAGCCCCCGGCUCAACUGGGGAGGGUCAUUCGAUACUGAUCGACUCGAAGGCAGGAGAGGGUAGUGGAAUUCCCGGUGUAGUGGUGAAAUGCGUAGAUAUCGGGAGGAACACCAGUGGCGAAGGCGGUUCUCUGGGCAUGAUCUGACGCUGAGGAGCGAAAGUGUGGGGAGCGAACAGG